rnacentral:rRNA from 1 species
CAAUAGCGUAUAUUAAAGUUGUUGCGGUUAAAAAGCUCGUAGUUGGAUUUCUGCUGAGGAUGACCGGUCCGCCCUCUGGGCUGGUAUCUGGCUCAGCCUUGGCAUCUUCCUGAAGAACGUAGCUGCACUUCACUGUGUGGUACGGUAUUUAGGACAUUUACUUUGAGGAAAUUAGAGUGUUUCAAGCAAGCGCACGCCUUGAAUACAUUAGCAUGGAAUAAUAAGAUAGGACUUUGGUGCUAUUUUGUUGGUUGAGCCUAAAGUAAUGAUUAAUAGGGAUAGUUGGGGGCACCUGUAUUGCGUUGUCAGAGGUGAAAUUCUUGGAUUUACGCAAGACAAACAGCUGCGAAAGCGUCUGCCAAGGAUGUUUUCAUUAA